rnacentral:rRNA from 1 species
UACGUAGGGGGCGAGCGUUGUCCGGAAUGACUGGGCGUAAAGGGCGUGUAGGCGGCCGAUUAAGUAUGGAGUGAAAGUCCUGUUUUUAAGAUGGGAAUUGCUUUGUAGACUGGUUGGCUUGAGUGCAGAAGAGGUAAGUGGAAUUCCCAGUGUAGCGGUGAAAUGCGUAGAGAUUGGGAGGAACACCAGUGGCGAAGGCGACUUACUGGGCUGUAACUGACGCUGAGGCGCGAAAGCGUGGGGAGCGAAC